GAUCCUGGCUCAGGACGAACGCUGGCGGCGUGCCUAACACAUGCAAGUCGAACGGAAGUUAGAGCUUCGGUUUUAACUUUAGUGGCGAACGGGUGAGUAACGCGUGAGGAACCUGCCUUUCAGUGGGGGGACAACAGUUGGAAACGACUGCUAAUACCGCAUGAUGCUUUUGGGAGACAUCUCCUGAAAGUCAAAGCUUUAUGUGCUGAAAGAUGGCCUCGCGUCUGAUUAGCUAGUUGGUGAGGUAACGG
rnacentral:rRNA from 1 species